rnacentral:lncRNA from 1 species
CAGUGUCUCCGGCGUGUCCUGCAUCUCGGCAGCCAGCUCCUCUGCAGCUCAGGCCCCGUGAGUCACAGCCGCUUCCUCAAAUGCUUUGGCUGACCGCAUCCCCCCGCUCCGCCAGAACCCUGGAUGCCGGAGCCCUCCCAGCGAGAGCCGUGUUUAUUUUACUUUACAUACAUUUUCCAACCCGGAGCGGCUUCAACACAUGCAGCUCUUAGGCCCGGGCCGCACAUCUCAGAAGCCCCGUGUGCGACUUUGACUGCCGCACGAUCCUCUGCCGGGGGAGGUGGGCCCGCUGCGCUUUGGGAGCACCCGCGCCCGACACUGAGGUCUCGGUGCUGUCUUCGGCCUCUUCGCCCCUGAGGGUCCCCUCUGGGAGCAGAGGCGGUCGGAAAACCCUGGGGCUGAAGUGCAGGCUUCGGGAGGACGCGACCUGCCAAGAUCAGCUCCCGGCACGUGAUGGGAGCCUGGCUCACCUUCCCCCAGCACACGAUGGGGCUGCAGCCUCCCCGGUCAGCCUGGCCUGCUGGAAAGGAGCAGCUCUGUCUCCAGAGGCUUCUGGCGAAGCCCAUGGCCUCCCAAUGUUGGCUGAUUUAUAAGGAAAGAGGGGAAAGGCCAAGUGUGGAUGCCAUUAGCAUAACCUAAUCCAGACCCCAUGACAAGUCCAGGAUCCUGCAGGGAGAGGGCAUCCUUGAACGUGAAGGACUGGGUUUGGAAACUUGGCCUCCCGGAAGAAAGGUCUCCGGGCCCACCCACACCCCCCUUGUGGACGCCCCCGCAGUCUAAUACACUCCACAGUAAGACGGACCAGGAACAGCAGCAGCCUCCGGUGUCGGCCCAGUGAUCCGGGAGCUCAGAGUGUAGGUACCUGACGGCUUGACUCGUCCCCAGGACAAGGCCUUUUUGCUAAAAUAGCCUUCUCAUUGGCUGCGGCUUUGGAGGUGGCAGAAAUCAUACGUUUAAUCACGGCGCCCUCCUGCUUGCCAAGGUUAGCAGGGGCUGUACUGCUGUGCCCUCCUGUCCCUGGAGGCUCUGGUGGCCCCACUCCCCACACUGCCAGGCUGGGUGCCACGCUGCCGUGACCCCGGAAUUCAGCCUGUGGUGAUCGGUCUUCCCUAGCACGGAGCUGAGUUAGGGGCUCUAGAAUCAGUCCCAGCCACGUGAGGCUCUCCCUGGGAUGUGAGGGUCGUCUCGUCUGUUUACACGGGGGCCACAGUGCAGAUCCCAGCCCGGGCAGGGGAGGGGCAAAUCUAUGCCCACUUCAAGCUUCCACUUCUGCCCGCCUCAAAGUGCCGGAGACUCCGGCACCUCUGCGUUCCUCCUUCCCGGUAGGAACAGAAAGCUGGGAAAGGGCUGGGGUGGCAAGGAAGAGCCCCAGGAAGACGGGAGUGGCUCUCCCCACUCCCUAGAGGACCUCCCUCCCCCAAGCCCAUGGGCCGCCUUCUCCAGGGACUCUUCCCUGUCCCACCCACCGGGCAAGGUGGGCCCAGCAGGGUCUCCUUUUCACCGUGCGCCCCCUCCUGUGGCCGGGUCCUGGGCUAAUGACCUCACAUGCUGCUUUUACAAGUCAGGUUUAUUGCGGUAUCACGUACACACAUAAGGCUCACCCGUUUUCGAUGUACAGCCGACGACUUGGUAAGGGUCUAGAGUGGGGCACUUCUGCCCCGACAGAGGCAGCCCACAUUUUGCCCCUCUGCAGUCAGGCCCCUUCCCGGCCCCCAACCACCACCUGUCUCUCCUCGCUCCUACAGCUUUGCGUCCUCCAGAAUUGUCCUGUGAGUGACUCCCGCAGGAUGGAGACUUUUGUGUCUGGCUUCCUUCACUUCGCAGCAGGCUUCGCGGGACCCGUGUGGUGGCACCAGCGUCCAGCCCUUGAAACCCAUGAAAGAGGAUCCUGAAAGAGCAAGGGCAGCCUCCAGGUGAAGGUGGUGGGCGGCCUCCAGGUGAAGGCGGCCUCCAGGUGAAGGUGGUCAGCACCCUACCUUUGGCCAAGAGCAGACUGCAGUUUCAACUCAAAGAUUAUUCCUGAAUGAGUGAGUGACUGCAUCUCUCUUCUCCUCACCCCUGCUGUGGUUGUGUCUCCUCUUCAAGAAAAACCAAUAUGUGGAAAGGCCUAAGUCUGCACAAAACAAAUAUUUAUUUUACAAAAUAUUGUUUUUUGCUUUUCCAGUGCAGCAAGCUUAAACUUCCUUAAAAACAAACCUCUGGGAAGAGGAAAAUGAGGCAAGAUGCUGAGAAAAAGUCAUCUCCCACUCUGCCCUUCUCUGGCAAAUCGAAGUGUCCUCUUGUGGGAGGCGGUGGGCAGCGACACUCCCGUUGGACGUCAGUGCUCUCGGGCCCGGCCACCCCGGAGCAGAACUCACUUAGGGCCUGGUGCCCCUGUGCCCAGUUCUCAGAAUGUCGGAGUGCUCAGUUCUCAGAACGCCGGAGUGCCCCAUUCAUAACCUGCAGCCCCGUUCAUAGCCUGCAGCUCCCCUCCUUCCUCUCCUCCUGGUCUUCAGGGAGCACCCCCAGCUCCCCUCCCCACUCUCAAACCCUCCUCCUCCCUCCCCUCUCUCAGUUCCCUGUUUGCAGGAUCUCCUCCUGCCCACUCUCCAGCCCAGGUCCUCCCCUCUCAUCUCCAAUUCUGCUUCACGGGCCAUGACAGCAGGCAGGCCAUGGCCUGCUCUCAGCAGUUUGAUCGAUGGACUAAGGAGAUCACUCCUACGAGAGUGAAAAAGUCAAGUGUGCCUGAGAUUCGGAUGGGGAGCUCUCAAAGCUAUGGAUUGCAAGAGUCAACACCGCCUCAAAAGUACAAGGCCGGCCGGGUGCAGUGGCUCACACCUUUAAUCCCAGCACUUUGGGAGACUGAGGUGGGUGGAUCACCUGAGGUCAGGAGCUCAAGACCAGCCUGACCAACAUGGUGAAAUCCCGUCUCUAUUAAAAAUACAAAAAAAAUUAGCCAGGUGUGGUGGUGCAUGCUUGUAGAUCCAGCUACUCGGGAGGCUGAGGCAGGGGGAGCACUUGAACCCGGGAGGUGGAGGUUGCAGUGAGCCGAGAUUGCGCCAUUGCACUCCAGCCUGGGCAACAGAGUGAGACCCUGCCUCAAAAAGAUAAAAAAAUAAAAGUACGAGGCCCGGUUUAAAUGCAGGAGGAAUCUGGUGAGCGAGUUUCACUCUGAUGCAACAGAAAAGCCAAGCCAAGCCUUGGCUGUGCCUGAUCUUGGCCGGGGAGCCACAGGCAGGGUCUGCUGGUUUCGGUGUCAGGGGCACAUCGCCAGGACCACGUGUGAGAUGGGAAGUGCCUUGAUGGAAAACUGAUACCUUUUUCUUUCCGAGUAACUUUAGAAUAUGUCGCUUCAAAUAUAACUAAUAUCCUGAUUUCAAUGGACUUGCAUGGAAGGAAACGCAAGUUCAUUUGCCAGUGGGGGGUGAGGACUGGGAGAGUGGGGAGCAGGGUGGGGAAGAGGGGACCAUUCCACAAGCUGCAAGAGCCUGGACACCUCCAGCCUUCAAUAAAUAGCAUUUGAAUUUGCUGUGCCUAAUUCAACCUUGCAUUUGUGUAGUGAAAGUCAGGCCCACGGUGUGUAUAGUUUGGCACAUGAGUUCAGCUCGGGUCCCCUUGAUCUGCUUCUAUGUUCUCACUCUCUCCCUGCCCGGCAUGCCCCUCUUUUUCUAUCCAGAUGAGCGAAGGGGUGAAUUAGUCCAGAAAUGUUUCUGCUCCAGUCAAACAAACAUUAUCACCUGUCAGUCAAACAUUAUCACCUGUCAGUCACCAGAGACGUGCACAGGUGCCUUCUCCUUUGCCUCGAGGUUUCUAUGACCUGGGAAAAGCCCAUCCCAUUCCCGGAUGAGGCUUCCCUGCGACCGGCCACAGACACACGAGCUACGCCCCGCCUUGCCAAAACUUUCAAGGUGGGAUGGAAGAAUCUGUCGUUUCUGCAUUUACGACCCCGUACGUGUUCCGUGCUGCAUCUGUUCUGGUUGGGUUGUCUCUCCUCUCAAGGCCUCUUUUGACCCAAACUUACUGCAAAGCAGAUGAGUGAGCCAGAAGCUGCGCUGGGCGUUGGGGGUUGUGGCAGAGGCUGGGGCUGUAUGUGGGCCGGCAGGCCACGGGCCGACCCACCGCAGGCAGCUUAGCAA